rnacentral:tRNA from 1 species
CGCGCUUGUAGCUCAGUUGGAUAGAGCACUUGGCUACGAACUAAGGGGUCGGGAGUUCGAAUCUCCAAGCGCACC